rnacentral:lncRNA from 1 species
ACCGGCAGACAGGCGGACCGGGCGCUCGGCUGUCGCUGUUCUCCGCGCGGCGGCUGCGGGGCUUCUGACUUGGAGAACAAUGAAGCGUGAGCUGGAGGGGAGCGAGCGGGCCGCCGGGAGCGCACUGUGUACAAACAGAGGCGGCGUGCGUGUGAGUCUGAGCCUGGCAGGCGCGCUCCCCACUCCCCCGGCGCCCGCCCGCCCUCCGCCCGCCCUGUUAUUCACUCCCCGGGUCUCCCCCUCCUCUCUCUCUCUUUUGCUCUCUCUCUCUGUCUCUCUUUUGCUCUCUCUCUCCUUCCUCCCUCCUCCCCUCCUCUUUCAGCUCCUUCUGCUAUAAGAGAAAAGGGAGACAACUGCAGCCACACCCUAGCACCUAGCACCUGCCACCACCUCUGAAGUUCCUGCAUUGCCUGUACCUUCUCCGCACAUGCUGGAGACUGUGGGGUUAAGAGCUGCACCCUUGCUGCCUGAGAGUCCCUUGGAUUCCAGCACUGACUUUAUAAUUAACCACGUUAAGGAUUCCCCUGAACUUCCUUUCUCAGUAUAACCAGGAACAGAAGUUAAGAGAUUUUGAAAAGUGACUCUUGGGGCACAAAACUGCAUGAGAGACAGAACCCUGCAAAGUGAAUUGCCCCGUAUUUCUCAGGAACUGCAACGUAGUCAGCAACCAGACCCUAAUCAGCUAAGACAGGGCUGCUCUGCUGCUCUGUCUACAAUUUAGUUAGCUCCAGGGCUGGGGAGAGAGGGUUGUGGGCUCAUCUGUUCACGGGGGCAAAAGGGUGGAAGUGAGUAGGAGACAUGCAUCUCGUUAAGCAGGACAUCUGUUUCAGAGAAGAAGUGGGGCAAGUUUGGGAACUGUGCAAGAACAUAAAGGCAAAGACAGACCCUUGAAGCAUCACUAAGGUGGAUCAAAUUUUCUUUCUAUCCGCCAAAAUAAAUGGACUGGUUUUUGCAGUGGAAGUGAUUGAACCAAAAAUACAGCUCAUGGCUUACAAUUGUGCUUUCUUCUCUGUUUUUCGGUUAGAAUGAUUGCUUAUUGUACAUGGAUCCAAUUCCAGCAGUUACAGAGAGGGAGGUAGGGAGAGAGACAAACACAGAGCUAGAGAAAUUGAAAGAGAAACAUUCUCGAAGGCAAAGAGUUGAAAGGUGAAUCUACUAAGAAAAGAAUAACAGAGUGCAAUUAGCCAUGGAACUACAUCUCCAUCUGCCUCCUUUAAAGGAUGAGUCCUUUAAAGAGCCUUUGGAAGGAAUUGGGCCAUGAGAAGAGCCCUCAUGAAUGGGAUUAGUUCCCUUAUAAGAAGAGACACCAAGGAAGUGAUCUUUCUCUGCCCUCUGCUAUGUGAAGACAAGGUCAUCUGCAGUUUUUUGUUGUUGUUGAUGAUCUUCCUGUCAUAGACAAUGCUGUAACAAACAGACUAAUUGUUCACUGUUGACAUAUAGAAGUACUACUGAUUGGCCAGACAUAGUGGCUCAUGCCUGGAAUCCCAGCACUUUGGGAGGCCAAGGCAGGUGGAUCACUUGAGCCCAGAAGUUUGAGACCAGCCUGGGCAACAUGAUGAAACCCCAUCUCUACAAAAUAAAUAGAAAAAUUAGCUGGGUAUGGUGGCAUGUGCCAGUAGUCCCAGCUACAUGGGAGCCUGAGGUGGGAGGACGACUUGAGCCCAGGAGGUGGAGGUUACAGUGAGCUGAGAUCAUGCCACUGCACUCCAGCCUGGGUGACAGAGUGGGACUCUGUCUAAAAAAAAAAUUGUAUUAUCUGUAAACGGAAAUAUAAAUAAUUUAACUUCUUCUUUUCCAAUUUGGAUUCCCUUUAUUUCUUUCACCUGUAUGAUUGCUUUAGCUAGAGCUUCCGGUAAUAUGUUGAAUAACAGUGAUGACCAGUGGGCAUCCUUGCUGUGUUCCAGAUCUUAGAGAAAAGACUUUCAGUUUUUUUCCCCAUUUAGUAUAUGAGCUGUGGACCUGUAAUAUAUGGCUUUUAUUAUGUUGAGGUAUGUUACUUCUAUACCUAGUUUUCUUAGGUUUUGUUUUUUUUUA